AUUGAACGCUGGCGGCAGGCCUAACACAUGCAAGUCGAGCGAGCGGCGGACGGGUGAGUAAUGUAUGGGGAUCUGCCCGAUAGAGGGGGAUAACUACUGGAAACGGUAGCUAAUACCGCAUACCCUCAGAUGAACCCAUAUGGGAUUAGCUGGUAGGUAAGGUAACGGCUUACCUAGGCGACGAUCCCUAGCUGGUCUGAGAGGCUGAUCGGCAAAACUGGGACGGAGACACGGCCCAGACUCCUACGGGAGGAAGAAGUGGGGAAUAUUGCACAAUGGGCGCAAGCCGGAUGCAGAAAUGCCGCGUGUAUGAAGAAGGCCUUAGGGUUGUAAAGUACUUUCAGCGGGGAGGCGUUACCCGCAGAAGAAGCACCGGCUAACUCCGUGCCAGCAGCCGCGGUAAUAC
rnacentral:rRNA from 1 species